rnacentral:rRNA from 1 species
UACAUUAGAUACCCGCGUAGUCCUAGCCGUAAACGAUACUCGCUAGGUGUCGGCCACGGUGCGACCGUUGUCGGUGCCGUAGGGAAGCCGUGAAGCGAGCCACCUGGGAAGUACGGCCGCAAGGCUGAAACUUAAAGGAAUUGGCAGGGGAGCACCACAACGGGUGGAGCUUGCGGUUUAAUUGGAUUCAACGCCGGAAAUCUUACCGGGACCGACAGCAACAUGAAGGCCAGGCUGAAGACUUUGCCGGAUUAGCUG